GUGGGGAAUUUUGGACAAUGGGCGAAAGCCUGAUCCAGCAAUGCCGCGUGCAGGAAGAAGGCCUUCGGGUUGUAAACUGCUUUUGUACGGAACGAAACGGUCCGGGUUAAUACCCUGGGCUAAUGACGGUACCGUAAGAAUAAGCACCGGCUAACUACGUGCCAGCAGCCGCGGUAAUACGUAGGGUGCAAGCGUUAAUCGGAAUUACUGGGCGUAAAGCGUGCGCAGGCGGUUUUGUAAGACAGGCGUGAAAUCCCCGGGCUCAACCUGGGAAUUGCGCUUGUGACUGCAAGGCUGGAGUGCGGCAGAGGGGGAUGGAAUUCCGCGUGUAGCAGUGAAAUGCGUAGAUAUGCGGAGGAACACCGAUGGCGAAGGCAAUCCCCUGGGCCUGCACUGACGCUCAUGCACGAAAGCGUGGGGAGCAAACAGGAUUAGAUACCCUAGUAGUCC
rnacentral:rRNA from 1 species